rnacentral:lncRNA from 1 species
GACCUGGCAAUUCGUGCAGAUCGUGUACUUUCGUGUCGUGUACCUUUUCGUGUCGUGUACUCAAAGGCCAAACACAAAACCGACCCGUUUAGCGUUCGUGUAUUUUCGUGUCGUGUACCUCCGUUUUCGUGUCGUUCUCGUGUCGUGUUUCGUGUAAAAUCGAAUUUAAAUAUAAAUAUAAAUAAAUAUAUAAAUUAAUGUAAAUAUUAGAUUUCUAGGCAAAAAAUUUACAAAAUAAUAUGAAAUAUAUAUAUUUAAAUCAUU